rnacentral:rRNA from 1 species
GAGGUAAUGGCUCACCAAGGCGACGACGGGUAGCCGGCCUGAGAGGGCGACCGGCCACACUGGGACUGAGACACGGCCCAGACUCCUACGGGAGGCAGCAGUGGGGAAUAUUGCACAAUGGGCGAAAGCCUGAUGCAGCGACGCCGCGUGAGGGAUGACGGCCUUCGGGUUGUAAACCUCUUUCAGCAGGGAAGAAGCGAAAGUGACGGUACCUGCAGAAGAAGCGCCGGCUAACUACGUGCCAGCAGCCGCGGUAAUACGUAGGGCGCAAGCGUUGUCCGGAAUUAUUGGGCGUAAAGAGCUCGUAGGCGGCUUGUCACGUCGGUUGUGAAAGCCCGGGGCUUAACCCCGGGUCUGCAGUCGAUACGGGCAGGCUAGAGUGUGGUAGGGGAGAUCGGAAUUCCUGGUGUAGCGGUGAAAUGCGCAGAUAUCAGGAGGAACACCGGUGGCGAAGGCGGAUCUCUGGGCCAUUACUGACGCUGAGGAGCGAAAGCGUGGGGAGCGAACAGGAUUAGAUACCCUGGUAGUCCACGCCGUAAACGGUGGAAACUAAGGUGUUGGCGACAUUC